AAAAUUUAGUUAAAUCCAUAUAACAUCAGCUUGUCAAGCUGAAAUUGCUUUAGGGCAAUUUUUA
rnacentral:tRNA from 1 species